GCCGGAUUAGCUCAGUGGCAGAGAGCAACCGCCUUGUAAGCGGUAGGUCGUCUGUUCAAAUCAGACAUCCGGCACCA
rnacentral:tRNA from 1 species